rnacentral:tRNA from 1 species
GCCGGGAUGGCGGAAAUGGCAGACGCGCAUGCUUGAGGGGCAUGUGGCCCAACGGCUGUGGGGGUUCAAGUCCCCCUCCCGGCACCA